GUCUAUGGCCAUACCACCCCGAAUGUGACUCAUCUCAUCUGAUCUCAGAAACUAAAGGGUCAGGCCUACUUAGUACUUGCAUUGUAGAACAACUUGGGCCUAAGACU
ensembl:rRNA nuclear encoded rRNA 5S 73